rnacentral:snoRNA from 1 species
GGGGAAAUGAUGAAAUAACUUUCCCCAAAUGAUCGACUAUGAUAUCAUCCACUACUUGUUUCUCUUCUUUGGUGCAGUCCAAGCUAGUUAUUUCUAAUCCUU